rnacentral:rRNA from 1 species
ACUCAAUAGAUACCCGGGUAGUCCCAGCAGUAAACGGUGCGCGUUUGGUGUGAGCAGAUUCGACUCUGUUCGCGCCGGAGCUAACGCGUUAAACGCGCCGCCUGGGAAGUACGAUCGCAAGAUUAAAACUCAAAGAAAUUGACGGGGGCCCGCACAAGCGGUGGAGUAUGUGGCUUAAUUCGAUGCAACGCGAAGAACCUUACCUGGGUUUGACAUGCAUCUCUAAGGAGGUGAAAGCUUCCGAGGGUAGCAAUACCCGAUUUGCACAGGUGCUGCAUGGCUGUCGUCAGCUCGUGUCGUGAGAUGUUGGGUUUAAGUCCCGCAACGAGCGCAACCCUUGUAUGCUGUUGCUAUGCUUACGCAUAGCUCUCUGCGUAGACUGCCCCGUGAAACGGGGUAGGAAGGUGGGAUGACGUCAAGUCAGCAUGGCCCUUACACCCAGGGCUGCACACGUACUACAAUGCUCAGUACAAUUAGAACCUG